CCCUUAGAUGUUCUGGGCUGCACGCGCGCUACACUGAAGCGUUCAACGAGUAUUUCACCUUGCCCGGGAGGGUUGGGUAAUCUUUUUAAAACGCUUCGUGAUGGGGAUAGAUUAUUGCAAUUAUUAAUCUUCAACGAGGAAUUCCUAGUAAGCGCGAGUCAUCAGCUUGCGUCGAUUACGUCCCUGCCCUUUGUACACACCGCCCGUCGCUCCUACCGAUUGGGUGUGCUGGUGAAAUGUUCGGAUCGGCCGUUUGUCGCGGUUUCCGCGUCAUGUGGCUGAGAAGUUCAUUAAACCCUCCCACCUAGAGGAAGGAGAAGUCGUAACA
rnacentral:rRNA from 1 species